rnacentral:lncRNA from 1 species
CUUGGUUUCCUAAGUCUUAUGACUAGCCAAUGCCUGAAAUAAUGAACUCCUCCAAGGCAAGAAAUCUGUUUUGAAGCUUCUCUGCGUUCACACACAGCAGCCUGGUUUCCUGGAAGGGCAUUUUCCACAUUGUGCGUUAUGGAUGAUCAUCCCAGGCAUCAGGGUAUGCACAGAUGUGGAAACAGGAACUGAUGUGUCCAUUACACCACUAGGACAGAGGCCAGAACAAUGAAGAAACCAAAUACUUGGAAGAGGGUAGAGAUAAUGAAUGGAGUCCAAGAGCCCUGAUUGUGCCAUAAAUGUCCAGAUAAUUCCAUACCUGAGGAUUAUGUGGUUUGUAAACUUGGC